rnacentral:rRNA from 1 species
AGAGUUUGAUCAUGGCUCAGGAUGAACGCUGGCGGUCUGCUUAACACAUGCAAGUCGAACGGAAUCUUUCGGGAUUUAGUGGCGGACGGGUGAGUAACGCGUGAGAAUCUGCCUUCAGGUUCGGGACAACAGUUGGAAACGGCUGCUAAUACCGGAUGUGCCGAGAGGUGAAAGCUUAAGUGCCUGGAGAUGAGCUCGCGUCUGAUUAGCUAGUAGGAGUGGUAACGGCACCCCUAGGCGACGAUCAGUAGCUGGUCUGAGAGGAUGAUCAGCCACACUGGGACUGAGACACGGCCCAGACUCCUACGGGAGGCAGCAGUGGGGAAUUUUCCGCAAUGGGCGCAAGCCUGACGGAGCAAGACCGCGUGAGGGAAGAAGGUCUGUGGAUUGUAAACCUCUUUUGAUCGGGAAGAAGACAGUGACGGUACCGAUCGAAUCAGCUUCGAUUCCCG